rnacentral:RNase_P_RNA from 1 species
CCAGUUGGCCGGGCAGCCGCGCUUUACCAAUGUCGAAAGACGGUAAGGUGAGGAAAGUCCGGGCUCCACGNNCACCGCGCCGCUGGUGACAGUGGUGGCAAGGUAAACCCCACCGGGAGCAAGACCGAAUAGGGAUGACAUGGAACGGGCGAAAGCCCGUUUACAGCCGGUUUCCGGGCCCGUCAUCCGGGUGGGUUGCGAGAGGCGGCAUGCAAAUGCCGUCCCAGAUGAAUGGCUGCCACGUUCCGGGUCAAACCGGGGCCAUACAGAACCCGGCUUACAGGCCAACUGGCGAA